rnacentral:rRNA from 1 species
AGCAGGGGAUCUUCGGACCUUGUGCUUUUGGAGCGGCCGAUGCCUGAUUAGCUAGUUGGUGGGGUAAAGGCCUACCAAGGCGACGAUCAGUAGUUGGUCUGAGAGGACGACCAGCCACACUGGGACUGAGACACGGCCCAGACUCCUACGGGAGGCAGCAGUGGGGAAUUUUGGACAAUGGGCGAAAGCCUGAUCCAGCAAUGCCGCGUGAGUGAAGAAGGCCUUCGGGUUGUAAAGCUCUUUCAGUCGAGAAGAAAAGAUUGCGACUAAUAAUCGCAAUUCAUGACGGUACCGACAGAAGAAGCACCGGCUAACUACGUGCCAGCAGCCGCGGUAAUACGUGGGGUGCGAGCGUUAAUCGGAAUUACUGGGCGUAAAGCGUGCGCAGGCGGUUUUGUAAGUCAGAUGUGAAAUCCCCGGGCUUAACCUGGGAACUGCGUUUGAAACUACAAGGCUAGAGUGUGGCAGAGGGGGGUGGAAUUCCGCGUGUAGCAGUGAAAUGCGUAGAGAUGUGGAGGAACACCGAUGGCGAAGGCAGCCCCCUGGGUCAGCACUGACGCUCAGGCACGAAAGCAUGGGGAGCAAACAGGAUUAGAUACCCUGGUAGUCCAUGCCCUAAACGAUGUCAACUAGUUGUCGGGCCUUAACGGGCUUGGUAACGUAGCUAACGCGUGAAGUUGACCGCCUGGGGAGUACGGUCGCAAGAUUAAAACUCAAAGGAAUUGACGGGGACCCGCACAAGCGGUGGAUUAUGUGGAUUAAUUCGAUGCAACGCGAAAAACCUUACCUACCCUUGACAUGUAGCGAAUACUCUAG